GUCCCCGCCCCCCUGUGCCCCCCCUCCUCCACCCCUCCCCGCCCCGCGCCCCCGCUGCAGGCUCCCGCGCCUGGCCGUGUCGGGGCGGGCGCGGGCACCUGCGCGCGCGCGCGCGCGCGUCUCCAGCAUCCGCCCCUGCCCUCGCCUCUCCCCCCUCCCCCCAUCAAACCACCCCCCUCCGCGACGAUCGCGUCUGAAGGCCUCGGCUGCUGCUCCCCCGGCCCCCCCGCCGCGGCUGCACCUUCUGAGCCACCCCCUGGUGCUUCCCGGAGCACCCACCGUGGGAAUCAACUCUCAGCCAGUGAAGGAAACUGGAUAUGGUCGAAUUACUUGGAGCUUCCUUGGAAAGCACCAGAAGCAGCCUCAAGAAGAAGAGAAAGCGCCUAAUAAAGUCUUCUUUGCUCGC